CCCACCGUAUAAUUUUGACCUCGGUUAAAUUUGACAGUUCAUUCAAUAAACAAAAAAACGCUAUCUGAUCGACGACAACGGCAACAACCAGUGGCCGAAUUUUCUGCAGUUUAUGUUCCUGUGUGUGAGUGCCCCGACCUGGAAGGAUGCAGGAACCGGCGCUGCGAAUCUUGUUGUCGUUGCCGAGUGUCUUCGGUAACCAGCACGAUCCGUCGUUCGAUCCGGAGAUGCGCGGCUGUCCGAAGACGCUUUGAUGGCGGGGAUGGUUUUGUAACCGGAGCACCAGUAACAAGUGCACUGGAGUGAACAUAAAAUACGAAGACUAUCAGAGUAACCGAAAGCGGUCCCUUUUCACUCGCGUACUCCAGUACGACGAGUAUCGAAGCAACGCUCCGAGGUCACCGAUGAACGGAACAUCGGUUAGUCAUCACCCUGUCAGGCGAGGCGAGGAGGACACCAUGAUGAACGUAGGACGUCACGAUUCUUGAGGGCUUCAUCAUCCGGAGGCGAUCGGUUUGAAGAGUCUUCCGGCCACCGGGAUCACACUCUCAUCAUCAAUCCGCCGGGGACAAUCAUCCAGAAGAAUACUAUCAGGAAGAACGUGGUGGACCACGCCGUCAGAAUUUUAGCAAAAUGGGCGGAAGGAAUCCCCUCAUCACGGCAUAAAUUUCGUGACAGUUCCAAUGAAUACGGAUGCUGUGCUUCCUACUUUCGAAAUGGUGCUUGACUCACGACUUCACACUCUUUUCCUUAAUCACUCUGAAAUUUAUCAACCUUCUUACCAAUUAUUCACAGUCUGUUUUUUUUUUUCAUAGUCACGACUUCACAGUCCCCCACCAAUCACAUUUUCUUCUCAACCACAAUCUUGACUUCAUACUAUUCUUUCCAAUCACAAAAACGUUUUUACACUUUUCUUUGCAAACACUCACGACUUCACAGCAUGAAGUUAUACUCUUCUCCUCAACAUGAUUACUAUUUCACAAGCACUCUCGCGUUUUCACUAUCAUUCACAAACUCAUUCUUAAUCGCUUUCACGAAUUCACCAGAAUUUUUGACUUCACGCUCAUUUUUUUUAAUCACACUAACCUUUUCGCAUUCUUUUUCACUAUCACGUUCACAACUUCACAUUUUUCUCGUAGUCAUACUUACGACUUCACAAUAUUUUUUACAUUCACACAAGGAAGCAUAAGGAAUGUGGGGUCGAUCGAGUUAGAUCUUUCAUCCGAUUUGUUUCGAAUAAAUAAAAAAAUAAUUUUGUUUUAUU